GAUGAGGAGUGACGGCGAUGACCCACGCAGGGCCCGUCUGGUGACCGCGAUCCAACUUCCUCUCGAUAGUCGCCGGAACAAGAUGGCUGCCCAUAAGAAGCCUGGCUGCUUCAUACUGAAAGUAGCAGUUGCUUUUCCAGCACUAUACAGCGUCGUGAAGCUCGUUGAGGUGAGAGGCGCAAGCUGCGGCAGGUAUUCUGGGGCGGGCUUUCUACAGGCAAGACCAGGAACAGGACUAUACUCUUGCUUCCGCUGCUGGUCUGAGUUGUCUUUUCAUUAUUACUGUGAAGACGCAUGAUUUUGUGAUGCGCCAUGAAUCGUAAUGCCUGCCAACCGCAGUUCGCAGCUCCUCCUGCUUCUGUUGCUCAAUCUAAAAAUCGUUCUCCUUCCCUCCCGGCGCUGUGCGCUGGCUGCAUGUUGCGAUGUUAGCGAACCGCCCUUCUUCCCGCUCUGGGUGCAGAGAGUUUUGCACAUUCGUUCACCUGACUCCUCCUCCAGAUUAAGGACUACCUAAAAGGACUGGUGCCGCGGAAGCCUCAGCCACCACCAAAGCCGCAACAACUUCAACAAGAGCAACAACUUCUUUUCAUUUGAGGCAUGGACACCAUCAAGGAGACUGUUCAGAAGGUGCGUGUAUAUAUGUACGUGCGCCAUCUGACCUGGGGAUAAAGUUAUGAAGUUUGGUUUUUCCCAUUUUAUUUCAUACAGAACUAACAAAGCGAGCCAAACAGCGCGACGCCUCGUUUACAUGUUUCGUUCUGUCUCUCUCUCUCGAGUGCUUCUUGAAGGUCCAGCUAGGAGACCUGAACACUACCGGACACCACUUUCGACCACCACCACCUGACGCCUCUCCUCUUCUCCUCAAGAGUCUUAUGUGAUUAAUACGAAUACCACCUUUUGGGCCUUCCUUUCUCUCUGCCAUCACCACAUCGACGAGCCUGUCUCUCAAGCAUAUCCAGCUGCCUGCCUGCCCUCUCACCACCCUCCUGCCUUCCCGGCCCCCCCACCCCCCCUUACCUCCCACCCACCCACCCCCCGACCCCCGCCAGGCCGGCCACCGCAUGGAGGAGGCCAUGACAAGUGCCACCCACACGGCGCAGGUGGGAGUGCUGUUGACUGCAGGGACGAGGUAGUAGCGGGGCUAGGGUAGCGGCCGCAUGAAAACAUGUAUGCACUUGACGAUGAUUGAUAAGCAUGCAUGCCAAGGCGCAUCUGGCUAUGCGCACGAAGUAGGGCACCAGCUGGUGCGAGGGAAUACAACCUGAGAGGACUGCCUCGCACUACCCCUAACAGCGCCUCACCUCGCCUCGCACCUCUUCACGCCGCUUUAGCAUCUCUGGUGUGCUGUUUCUAUCAGCACCUGCUGCUGCUGCUGCUGCUGCUGCCCCCCUGAUUCCUCGUUCGCUCGCACCGUGUGGGUUUUUACUCAUGUCUGCAUGUCCUCCGCCCAACAGGAGAUGGGCGACAAGAUAAAGGAGGGUACGAUGGGCACCAAGCACGAUGCGGACUCGGCGGUAAGUGUUUUGAUUUUUCUGUUCUGUAAGAAGCCAUUCACAAGGGCCCUCCAGAGCUGACGUUGGUUGAGAGGAGGGGAGGUUCAGCUGUGCUUGGCAGUCAUGCGAUGGCGGUACCACCAGAGACAUACUUGCUGAGAUCAUACGGCGUGUGUACCCGUGUAUGUGAUAUUUAUAAAAUAGAAAACCUUAUAUGAAUUCAUUUUCACGGCGAGUUUGUGUAUGUGCAGGCCACUCGGGCUGCGGACGCUGCUCAGGAGAACAUCCGCGAUGUGGGUCGGCCUGUGUGUGGUGUGUGUGUGUGGAGGGGAGUGGGGAAUGGCUGGGUGGGGUCAAGCUCCGGAAGGAGCACUUACGGCCUCGCUUGUCAAUGCAAUUAGAACUUUAUACAUUUACGGCCGUCGGUCCGUACGGUCGUCAUUUAAGCUUUGCGAAAACUAGUUGAGCAGGGGGUCUUCCCUUUUCUGUCUCUUUAAAGUGGUACCGUGCACUGCUAUGUCGUACGGUACCAAAGACCGAUUCAACCGGGCGCUUCAUGAAUGGAGCCACUCGCAUUCGUGCUGCUUCAUUCGAUAUCACACACUGAUAUGACACACGGCCGUACACGUCGUACAUGCUGUACAGGCUGGCCAUCGUGCGGACGAGGCGGCGGAGAAGGCCAAGCACGGCGUGGGUAUUCAUUCGUGAUGACGACAACGGCAACAACGAAGUUUCCUGUCGGAGAAGGGGGUCGCUGCGAAACCAGGCUCUGCGGGUGUUGGGAUUCAAGUCUUGGGUGAGCCUGGUGGAGGACUGGGGGGGGAACUGUCGUGUCUGUGGCGCUGCUACUCGGGAGGACAGCGCUGGAUGGCGGAGCGACGUAGCUGUCGUGUGUGUGCGUGUGCGCGGUGCGGUGUGUAUCCUGUCUUUAUUCUUCUGACUCCGGUGUUGCUGGAUUGCGGUGUUGAUGGUGCUGAAACGUUGAGACGGGAGUUGGGCCACUGGAAUAUGGACAGCUGGCUGCGCCGAUGAUGAUGAUUUGGUGGCGGUGUGUGUUGCUGGUACAGAAACAGCGUACUGUUGUAAAAGAAAUCACCGAUGAACGGAUCUCACAAUUCGCGAGUGAAGGAAGAGGAAGUGUACCAGACGGAAGGGCGGCACUGUCGUGUACUCGGAAAAAUGCAAAACGUACAAAGAAGAGUAUGGGAAGUAUAGCCUGAUUAAGCCACAUAUUUCGAGCCUGAUUACUGCAAUAGUAUUACGUUGUUGGGCUUUGAAGGCAAAACAGAUCAGGAAGUGGCAAGUACCACGUCCCCAGGGAGCAGCGGUUUUGCC
rnacentral:lncRNA from 1 species